rnacentral:rRNA from 1 species
UGGGGGAAACCCUGAUGCAGCAACGCCGCGUGAGUGAUGAAGGCCUUCGGGUUGUAAAGCUCUGUCUUCAGGGACGAUAAUGACGGUACCUGAGGAGGAAGCCACGGCUAACUACGUGCCAGCAGCCGCGGUAAUACGUAGGUGGCAAGCGUUGUCCGGAUUUACUGGGCGUAAAGGGAGCGUAGGCGGAUACUUAAGUGGGAUGUGAAAUACCUGGGCUUAACUUGGGUGCUGCAUUCCAAACUGGGUGUCUAGAGUGUUGGAGAGGAAAGUGGAAUUCCUAGUGUAGCGGUGAAAUGCGUAGAGAUUAGGAAGAACACCAGUGGCGAAGGCGACUUUCUGGACAAUAACUGACGCUGAGGCUCGAAAGCGUGGGGAGCAAACAGGAUUAGAUACCCUGGUAGUCCACGCCGUAAACGAUGGGUACUAGGUGUAGGGGGUAUCGACUCCCCCUGUGCCGCCGUUAACACAAUAAGUACCCCGCCUGGGGAGUA